GAUGAACGCUCGCUCCAGGCUUAACACAUGCAAGUCGAGGGGCAGCAUGGUCUUAGCUUGCUAAGGCCGAUGGCGACCGGCGCACGGGUGAGUAACACGUAUCCAACCUGCCGUCUACUCUUGGACAGCCUUCUGAAAGGAAGAUUAAUACAAGAUGGCAUCAUGAGUCCGCAUGUUCACAUGAUUAAAGGUAUUCCGGUAGACGAUGGGGAUGCGUUCCAUUAGAUAGUAGGCGGGGUAACGGCCCACCUAGUCUUCGAUGGAUAGGGGUUCUGAGAGGAAGGUCCCCCACAUUGGAACUGAGACACGGUCCAAACUCCUACGGGAGGCAGCAGUGAGGAAUAUUGGGCAAUGGGCGAGAGCCUGAACCAGCCAAGUAGCGUGAAGGAUGACUGCCAUAUGGGUUGUAAACUUCUUUUAUAAAGGAAUAAAGUCGGGUAUGGAUACCCGUUUGCAUGUACUUUAUGAAUAAGGAUCGGCUAACUCCGUG
rnacentral:rRNA from 1 species